rnacentral:rRNA from 1 species
GGACUACUGGGGUAUCUAAUCCUGUUUGCUCCCCACGCUUUCGUGCCUGAGCGUCAAUCUCAGCCCAGGGGGCUGCCUUCGCCAUCGGUGUUCCUCCACAUCUCUACGCAUUUCACUGCUACACGUGGAAUUCCACCCCCCUCUGCCAGAUUCAAGUCCUGUAGUUUCAACCGCCAUUCCCAGGUUAAGCCCGGGGCUUUCACAGCUGACUUUCAGAACCGCCUACGCACGCUUUACGCCCAGUAAUUCCGAUUAACGCUCGCACCCUACGUAUUACCGCGGCUGCUGGCAC